CUGUUUUACACAACAUAUCAAAAAACUAGAAUGGACUGUUUUUUUAGUAUUUGAGAUACUCUUUAAGAAGUUAUUGUCAGAUUCUCUGGAUGUGAUACACUGCGCGGCGUUUGUAAUGUUCCCAAAAGGAGAAUGCCAUCUCGUAAUAAAUAAUGGGUAAAACGUACCCUUCCAGAUUUUCGAAAAGAAAAGUAGCCAUCUUGAACGUCUUCUGCGGCGAAAGUAAAAACGGUGAAAACCCACGAAGAAAUCUUUUAAAAUUUGGGAAAAACAAGCUUAAAGUGAAAUUAUGGAACAACUACUAUGCAGGACAAUCAAGACAAGAAAAUCAGUACGGAUGGCAGGUCAAACCAGCUCACUAUCAGCAAGAAGUUUAGGAGUGGUCCACCGAGGAGAUGAGCUACACAAUUCACAACGGAAUUCCGACGAAACCGAGGGUUCCAUAAAGUGUUUAGUACAUCGCUUCCAGCAGGAUUUCAGGGCUAGGAAGGAAAAUGAAAUCAAACAAUCAAUAAAGAAAGUGAAACGAUUUUGAUCCGGAUGAUGCGUAAGUCAUCCAUUUUUUAUUGUCUUUAUUAAUGAGGUUUUCGGCCCUUGACCGGUUCACCUCAGUAAGUCAUCCAUCAUAUUUUUAUGAA